rnacentral:rRNA from 1 species
GAUCCUGCUCAGGAUGAACGCUAGCUACAGGCUUAACACAUGCAAGUCGAACGAGAGAGAGGGAGCUUGCUUCCUUGAUCGAGUGGCGAACGGGUGAGUAACGCGUGAGGAACCUGCCUCAAAGAGGGGGACAACAGUUGGAAACGACUGCUAAUACCGCAUAAGCCCACGGCUCGGCAUCGAGCAGAGGGAAAAGGAGCAAUCCGCUUUGAGAUGGCCUCGCGUCCGAUUAG